rnacentral:rRNA from 1 species
AUGGGUUAUUCCCCAACGGAAAGCCAGAGUAUUGCCAACCGACUUAACUGUCUAUUAGGCUUAUUCCCCACUACCUACUUGGGGAUCCCCAUCAGUGACUCUCGGCUUUCCGUCACAGACCUGAGGCCUUCAGUUCUUAAGCUCCAGCAUCACAUUGAGCCCUGGCAGGGUAGAUGGCUGUCUAAGGCGGCUUGGACAAUCCUCAUCAACUCAUCACUGUCCAGCCUCCUCUUGUUCAUCAUGAGCUUCUAUAGCUUGCCCGAGACACUUCACCAUGAGAUUGGCUCGGUCCAGGCCCGUUUCUUCUGGGCGGGCGAGGGUGACAAGCAGAAAUACCAUAUGGUCCGUUGGCCCGAGAUUUGCAAACCUUGGGACUGAGGCGGACUCGGGAUCAUGUCCUCCAAGCGCAUGAACAUUGCCCUCCUGACGCGUUGGCUCUGGCGGAUUGCCAAUGGCGAGGGCGGUUUUUGGCUCCAGAUCAUCCAGAACAAGUAAAAACGCGGCCAACCGCUGGCCUUCUGCCAGCGGGCAGGCGGCUCCCAGUUCUGGCAGUCCAUCAUUCAGUUGCUCUCAGUCCUCCACAUUGGGACGUCCAUCACUGUUGGAUCGGGAUCAGCCACCUUAUUUUGGUUUGGUAGAUGGGCUGGGGAGACUCCCUUUGCGGCGCGCUUU